GAAUUCAACUCCUACGGGAGGCAGCAGUGGGGAAUUUUGGACAAUGGGGGCAACCCUGAUCCAGCAAUGCCGCGUGAGUGAAGAAGGCCUUCGGGUUGUAAAGCUCUUUUGUCAGGGAAGAAACGGUAGUAGCUAAUAUCUAUUACUAAUGACGGUAAUUACUUAGAAAGUCACGGCUAACUACGUGCCAGCAGCCGCGGUAAUACGUAGGUGGCAAGCGUUGUCCGGAUUUAUUGGGCGUAAAGCGAGUGCAGGCGGUUCAAUAAGUCUGAUGUGAAAGCCUUCGGCUCAACCGGAAAAUUGCAUCAGAAACUGUUGAACUUGAGUGCAGAAGAGGAGAGUGGAACUCCAUGUGUAGCGGUGGAAUGCGUAGAUAUAUGGAAGAACACCAGUGGCGAAGGCGGCUCUCUGGUCUGCAACUGACGCUGAGGCUCGAAAGCAUGGGUAGCGAACAGGAUUAGAUACCCGAGUAGUCCAGGCGUU
rnacentral:rRNA from 1 species